rnacentral:rRNA from 1 species
AUUGAACGCUAGCGGGAUGCCUUACACAUGCAAGUCGAACGGAGUGGCGAACGGGUGAGUAAUGUAUAGGAACGUGCCCAGUCGCGGGGGAUAACUACGCGAAAGCGUAGCUAAUACCGCAUACUUUUGGAGCGGCCGGUAUCGGGAUAGCUAGUGGGUGGGGUAACGGCUCACCUAGGCGACGAACCCUAGCCGGUCUGAGAGGAUGACCAGCCACACUGGAACUGAGACACGGUCCAGACUCCUACGGUAGGCAGGAGUGGGGAAUAUUGCACAAUGGGCGCAAGCCUGAUGCAGCCAUGCCGCGUGUAUGAAGAAGGCCUUCGGGUUGUAAAGUUCUUUCAGCGAGGAGGCGUUACUCGCAGAAGAAGCACCGGCUAACUACGUGCCAGCAGCCGCGGUAAUAC